CUCAGACUGUUUGUCUACAGAACAAAUUCUCAGAAAUUAAGAUGCCGCUCUCCUCAAUUUCCCAGUCUAUUCUGACUCUCAUGGAAGGUAUCCCACCUCUUCCACCUCAAGGUGUACUAAAAUUAAAGUCUUCUAAACUAAUUGAUUAUGAGCAACUAGAAAAGUUGUGUGAAAUCAAAGGCCUUAAAGCUGGAAAAGGUGCUCAGAGCACCAAAGAAGCACACGAAAACUUCAUGAAACAUUAUAAAAAAAUAUUUCAGAAAGAAAAGAGGAUCUUGCCUUACCUCCCAACAUCUCCAGCCAAAAUGAUGAAGCACUGGUUUCUGAAGGAAACUUCAAAGGCCUUGUUUAAAAGCUGGACCUCAUCCACCAAAUCCACUCC
rnacentral:lncRNA from 1 species